ACCCAAAGCCUUUUGUCAGGGUGAACGUCUCGAAUAAUUCGAAUCAUCUACACAUUUGCCUGUUACGUCUUUGGAAGAUCAAUGCCACCCGCCCGCAGGCCCUUGUUACAAGGUGACAUAGCCGUUUUGGCCAUGACUUCGUCUGCACUGCUGAUAGUUUUUAUUAGCGCCAUAGGGUAGAUUUCGGAAUCUUUUUGAGUUGGACCUGCUUGCUUACUGGGUAUCUCCAUAAGCUUGUCCGUAGUAUAGAAUCCGACACUC
rnacentral:snoRNA from 1 species